GAUGAACGUUGGCGGCGUGCUUAACACAUGCAAGUCGAACGGUGAAGGCGGAGCUUGCUCUGCUGGAUCAGUGGCGAACGGGUGAGUAACACGUGAGCAAUCUGCCCCUGACUCUGGGAUAAGCGCUGGAAACGGCGUCUAAUACUGGAUACGAGUUGCGAAGGCAUCUUCAGCAGCUGGAAAGAACUUCGGUCAGGGAUGAGCUCGCGGCCUAUCAGCUUGUUGGUGAGGUAACGGCUCACCAAGGCGUCGACGGGUAGCCGGCCUGAGAGGGUGACCGGCCACACUGGGACUGAGACACGGCCCAGACUCCUACGGGAGGCAGCAGUGGGGAAUAUUGCACAAUGGGCGAAAGCCUGAUGCAGCAACGCCGCGUGAGGGACGACGGCCUUCGGGUUGUAAACCUCUUUUAGCAGGGAAGAAGCGAAAGUGACGGUACCUGCAGAAAAAGCGCCGGCUAACUACGUG
rnacentral:rRNA from 1 species